GCCGCCACCACCACCACCAUCACCGCCAUCGUACCGCCUAAUUCUGCCGGAAAUCGGGUAAUAAAGUUCAAGAAGGUUAAACAUGGGAAGUUUUAGGUCAUGAAUAUGUAAACCUUCAACAACAUCAUUUUUGAAAAAAUAAAGAGCUUUAAUGUAAUGAAGCUUCAUUAUUAAGUCCAUGUUGGUAAAUUCAUGCUGGAGUUUGUCGUCGCCGGUGAUCCUCCCCGGCACGACGGACGAUAAUUUCACGUCGGAGAUUAAUUUCUCGACGUGAUCCAUGGAAUGAAAGAGAAGUAUUUGAAAGGAAA
rnacentral:misc_RNA from 1 species